rnacentral:rRNA from 1 species
CGCCUCUUGAUAAAUUAUAAGAGGUCCAGCCUGCCCAGUGACCCAGUUCAACGGCCGCGGUAUCCUAACCGUGCGAAGGUAGCGUAAUCACUUGUUCCUUAAAUAGGGACCUGUAUGAAUGGCAUCACGAGGGUUAUACUGUCUCCUUUUUUCAAUCAGUGAAACUGAUCUCCCCGUGAAGAAGCGGGGAUACUAAUAUAAGACGAGAAGACCCUAUGGAGCUUUAAGCAAAUUUACAUAUGUAACCAUUUCUCACCCCCCGGUGCACCACAAAAAGUACAACAUUCUGAUAAAUAGCUUUCGAUUGGGGUGAUCGCGGAGUAAAAAACAACCUCCACGACGAACGGGUUAAUCCCCUGAGCCAAAAAUUACAACUUUAAGCACUAAAAAAAUUAACGUUUAUUGACCCAAUACUUUGAUCAACGAACCAAGUUACCCUAGGGAUAACAGCGCAAUCCUCUUCAAGAGCUCCUAUCGACAAGGGGGUUUACGACCUCGAUGUUGGAUCAGGGUAUCCCAGUGGUGCAGCCGCUACUAAUGUGUUCGUUUGUUCAACGAUUAAAA